CCCCCAGUUAGCUCUGCAAGGGUGGGCGGCACCGAUUUUCUCAGACCUGGCGAGGCAGGAAAACAUCCGAGAGAGAGAAGAGUGAACUAGGCCGAUCGCAGUGAAAACGUCAACGCCACAACCGCGUCUCCAGCUUCACAACCACCCGAUUCCCACGGCUUUCCUGCGUGCUGUGAAGCUCACACAACUCCCUUCAUCACUCACCGGUUGUCUGUGUCACUCACCGUCCCUCCGUCACCUUCGUUUUCUGGAAUGUAAUGAUCAUCGUGUUACUAUAUGCAAGUGUAUCUGCAUCUCCAGUAAAUUUUGGUCAUAAAAAGAGACCAAAUCACAUAGCCCCUCCCAGACUCAGUUAACAGCCUAGCAGAGAACAGCUUUCAAUGGGUCAGUAACUCAAUCCGAGUUGCUAUCUAAGGCCUAUGUUUGUUUCUGCCUUUGCAUGUUCCACCCAUCUUUCAGGUGAGAGCGCAUCAGAAUAUGAAACAUACUUGUUAGAUUUCCAUUGGUUUGGGGCCACUGGGGAACCAAGGAGGUUUACUCAUAAGAAUUAAAAUGUAGACUGUAUUAGAGAUGACAAUAGUAUUAACCAAAUGAAGACAAAGUGUUUAAAUAGAAAAGACAGCCAGGCGUGGUGGCUCACACCCGUAAUCCCAGCACUUUGUAUAAUCCUAGCAUGGGUGUAUAAUCCUGAGGCGGGUGGAUCACCUAAGGUUAGAAGUUCAAGACAAGCCUAUCCAACGUGGUGAAACCCUGUCUCUACUAAAAAUACAAAAAUUAGCUGGGCAUGGUUGCACAGGUCUGUAAUUCCAGCUACUUGGGAGUCUGAGUCACGCACACACUUGAACCUGGGAGGCAGAGGGUGCAGUGAGCCGUGAUUGCACCACUGCACUCCAGCCUGGGGGACAGAGCAAGACUCUGUCUCAGAAAGAAUAGAUAUUGGCAGGGCAUGAUGGUUUACGCCUGUAAUCCCAGCACUUUGGGAGGCUGAGGCAGGCCAAUCACCUGAGAUCAGGAGUUUGACAUCAGCCUGUCCCACAUGGUGAAACCCCAUCUCUAGGAAAAAUACAAAAAUUAGUGGGUGUGGUGGCACGUGCCUGUAAUCCCAGCUACUCGGGAGGCUGAGGCAGAAGAACUGUUGGAAUCUGGGAGGUGGAGGCUGCAGUGAGCCAAGAUCACACCAUUGCACUCCAGCCCAGGCCAACAUUGCACUCCAGCCUGGGCCAACAACAGUGAGACUCUGUCUCAAAAAGAAAAGAAAAGAAAAGAUAUUUAAAGUCAGAUGUGGUGGCACAUGCCUGUAAUCCCAGCCACUUGGGAGGCUGAGGCAGGAAGAUCUAUUGAGCACAGGAGUUCAAGUCCAGCCUAGACAAUGUAGAAUGUAGUGAGACCCUCUCUAAAAAAGAAAAGAUAUUUAAAAGUUUCAUUUUGGGCUGGAUUCGGUGGCUCACGCCUGUGGAGGCCGAGAUGGGUGGAUCACCUGAGGUCAGGAGUUCAAGACCAGCCUGGCCACCAUGGUGAAACCCCAUCUUUAAAAGAAAAAAAAAAGUUUCAUUUUAUGAUAUGAUAUAUUUGCCCUCUGUGAAAUGAAUAGAAACACAAACAUAUGCUAUAUUUUUAGUGUUAAACAUAUACUUAUGCUGAAAUAAAAAUUAGUUGCUCUUAGAAGGUGACAUUCUCCUGAAUCCUUGUAACCUUUAGGCAAAUCAGUUUUGGAACUGCAUUUAUACUCAGGUCAAUGUAGAAGUUUAACAGCUAUGCUCACAAAUAAGGCAAGGGCUGGAAAUGGUCAAGCAUCUCCUUCUGAAGCUGUCUUAGUCCUCCUGCCUUCAAAGACUCAUGUUGUGGCUUCGAUGGGGAGAAUACUGUUUGUACCUUGCACUUUUCAAUUUAUGAAGAGGAAGGUAAAGAGUAUUAAAAAAUUCGAUGCCAAUCUAGAUUAAUACACAAUUUAAAAUAAGUAGUGGAGUUCUGAGCACGCUAAAGGAUUUCUUAUAAUUGAAUUUAAGCAUUUGUUAAAUCUUACCUAAAUAAUUGGAAUACUCUGCAAAGGAAAACGAAAACACUGAUAGAAGACUUACUGUGAGCCGGCCUCUAUAACAACUUCUCAAAAAUCCGAAUCACAACACUGCGAGAACCCUCAUUUUCCAGAGGAAACAGGAACAGCGUGGGUGAGUCACUGGCCAGAGACUAAUGGCCCAGUUUGAAAGUGACAGAGGUGGGAUGUCAGUCCAGAGUUCGGCUCUGAGCCAGUGUCACUUUUUAGAUGUGAACCAUUCUGACGGGUGUGCACUGAUAUUCUAUUUUAUUUCACUUAGCAUUUCCAAAUGACACGGCUCUUCAUGUGCUUGUCAUCUGCAUCUGCUCUCACGUCCUUUGCUCAUUGUCUAAUUGGAUUUUCGAAUUUACUAUUGUUGAGAGCGCUUUAUAUAUUCUAGAUAGGAGUCCUUUGUGGCCGAUGUGGUUUACAAAUACUGUCUAACAUUCUUUCCUGUCACAACAUCUUCUCACUCAUGUUUCUAACCCACCAGCCUGGAGAUAGACUGGGGGGACACGGAGCCCAGAUUGCGUCUCAUUAUUUGUGAGCAGGUCUCAGCGCAGAGUCCACUUCAGCCUCAUCAGUGAACCGUCCAACCCUAAACUCGAUGUCAUCUUUUGUGUACCCCAUAUUUAGUUAGCAUUCUUGGUAAUGGUAACAAGUUUGUUUUUAAAUUUUCUUACAAUAAAACAUAACACCAGACAUGUUUAAGGAAUCCGGUGUUUUAAUGUAUAAGAAAUGCUAGUCAAGGUGUUGUAUUCUUUAUUCCCUUUAACUCACCCAACCAAUGGAAGGUAUUGCCGUUAUCUUUAUGUCUCAGAUGAAGAAACCUAGGCCUGAAAAGUUUAAGUAAGUAGCCCAGGUGACAUGGCAACAAGAACGAGACGUGUCUCAGGUAUGAAUCAUUCCAGAGACUCUUAGUUGCCAGUCAAUAUUGUCUCUUUUACAUUAGAUUUUGUCACAAAAGUAUUUGGCUUUUUAAGAAAUCGUGAAGUUGCUAUGUGUCAUUUACCAGAAGAAGGCCUGAGAGAAGUGCUAUUGAAAACACUGGAUGGGCCGGGCACAGAGGCUCACGCCUGUCAUCCCAGCACUCGGAGGCCAAGGCGAGAUUGCUUGAGUCCAGAAGUUUGAGACCAGCCUCGGAAAAACAGAGAGACUCCCCUCUACAAAAAAAAUAAUUAGUCAGGUGUGGUGGUACACUCCUAUAGUCCCAGCAACUUGAGAGGCUGAGGUGGGAGGAUCACUUUGAGCCCAGGAGGUCAGGGCUACAGCAAGCCAUGGUGAUGCCACUGCCCUCCAGCCAGGCAACAGAGCAAAACCCUGUCUCUAAAACAACCAGAAAUCCCAACUCCAACUCCACCCAUGAUGGAAUAAGAGAUUGAAUUUGCCCUCAGGUCUAGUUUAACAAAGAAGCUCAAAAGUAAGCCUAAAAAGGAUCAAACAGAUUUCAAGUAAUUUAACUGAAAUAUUUUUUGGAAUACCAAAAAGUCCAACACUUAAUUACAUAAAAUUGGCAACAGUGGCAUCUAUUCAUAAAUUACUAGGCACAGAAAGCACUAAAACCUAUCCCAAUGCCAAGCAGGGGAGGAAAAAACAGACACAGACCUGGAAGUGAUGCAGGUAAUAGAAUCAGCAAAGGCUGAAACGCAGUUAUUAAGAAUAGACUUCACAUGCUCAAGAAGGUUAGAGAAAAGCAGGAGCCUGGUGAGGAAAGAAGGAAUAUGUGAAAAGGUCCAAAUUAAACUUGUAGAGAUUAAAAAUACAGAGACUGGGCACAGUGGCUCACACCUAUAAUCCUAGCACUUUGGGAGGCCGAGGUGGGCAAAUCACCCGAGGAGUUUGAGACCUGUCCGACCUACCCUCUGCGGGAAGACUGAGCUCGUUCGGAAAAAACCGGACCGCAGGCUAGAGGAAAUUCCUUAAGUUCAGGCUUUAUUGAGAGGAAAGAGCCUCCGGGCGGACCAGCCGGGAGGAAGAGGAGAAUGGCCGCGCCGCUCAGAGGAGCAGGGUUGUUUUAUAGGGGGCUGAAGGGCUGGGGGGUGGGGAAGCCAAAAGCCGAGGUGGUGGGCAACUGUUGGUCAGUUUGAACUGCUGGGCGGGAAGCUGGGCGGCGGGAAGCUGGGCGGCGGGAGGGCUAGGGACGGUAUGUAAAGUGAGAGAUAAGGGAGCCUCUUUGUGGGGGAGGGAAAGAGAGAGAGAGACCUUUUGCGGUAGGGGCAGAGUUUUCCAAACAAGACCAGCCUGGCCAACAUGGUGAAACCGUGUCUCUACUAAAAAUACAAAAGAAUUAGGCGGGCAUGGUGGCAGGUGUCUGAAAUCCCGGCUACUUGAAAGAAUGAAGCAGAAUUGCUUGAACCCAGGAAGUGGAGGUUACAGUGAGCCAAGAUCACGCCCUCUGCACUCCAGCCUGGGUGACAGAGCCAGACUCCAUUCAAAAAAAAAAGAAAGAAAAGAAAAAUAUCAUAUCUGAGAUGAAGAAUACACCAGAUAGGGUAAACAGCAGAUAAGACACUGCAGAAAAAAGACGUAAAACUGAAGACGAAGCAACUGAAACUGACCGAAAUGAACAGAAGAAAAAUACCUGAAAAAUGAAAAGAGGAACAUAACCUGGCUUAAAAUGCAUCACACAUACAAUUAGAGUCUCUGGAAGGAGGGGUGGGAGUUCAGACAAAAAAAAUUUUUCUUUUUUUUGAGAUGGAGUUUCUCUCGUUACCCAGGCUGGAGUGCAAUGGCGGGAUCUCGGCUCACUACAACUUCCACCUCCUGGGUUCAAGCAAUUCUCCUGCCUCAGCCUCCUGAGUAGCUGGGACUACAGGCACGCGCCACCGUGCCCAGCUAAUUUUUUGUAUUUUUAGUAGAGAUGGGGUUUCACCAUGUUGACCAGGAUGGUCUCGAUCUCUUGACCUCGUGAUCCACCCGCCUUGGCCUCCUAAAGUGCUGGGAUUACAGGCAUGAGCCACCGUGCCCGGUCCCCCCCAAAAUUUUUUAAAAUGGCUGAAUAUUUAUCAAAUAUAAGGAAAACUAUAAGCCAAUAGAUCGAAAACAAAACAAAACUCACGAAACCCAAAAUCAAAGAAACAGAAAAACGCAACCAGGUACAUCUCACUAAGCAGCAAAUGGCGGCCAGGCACAGUGGCUCACACCUGUGAUCCCAGCAUUUUGGGAGGCUGAGGUGAGAGAACUGCUUGAGCCCAGGAGUUUGAGACCAGCCUGGGCAACACAGGGAGAUCUCAUCUCUACAAAAAAUAAAAAAGUAGCUAGGAGUGGUGGCGUGCGCCCAUGGUCCUAAUCGCUUGGGAUGCUGAGGUGGGAAUAUCUCCAGCCUAGGAGUUUGAGGCUGCAGUGAGCUUGGAUGGCACCACUGCACUGUGGCGUGGGUGACAGAGGGAGACCCUGUCUGAAACGAACAAAAUAUAGAUGGCAAAUUACCACAUAUAUAAAGAUAUUCACAAGUAUUAGCCAGCGGAGAAGUGCAAAUCAAAAUCGCAGAGAAACCACUGCAUACCGACUAAAUGCUAAAAUUAAAAAGACUUCCAACACCAAAUGCUGGCGAAGAUACAAAACAACUGUAACUCUCACAUUCCUGGUGGGAAUGCAAAAUGAUACAUCCACUUUGGAAAAACAGUCUAACAGUCUUGUAUAAACUUAAAUACUUGCCAUAUGACUCAGCUGUCCCACUCUUAGAUAUUUUGUCAAGAGAAAUAAAUUGGUAAGUUCACGCAAAGCAGAUCUUCAAAGCAGCUUUGCUCACAAUGACCAAAAGCUGGAAACAUCCAGUGUCUAUCAGCAGAUGGGUGAAUAGACACAUGGCAGUGUAGCCAUUCCAAGGAUUUGGUGUUUGUUAUCAAAGACCAGCAGGAGGGCAGAAGAAUCACAAAAGCUUUAUGCUACGUGAAAGAUAAAAGCACUCUCCUUGCCCUAUUCAAGGUUACGUACUUAUAUGAUCACACUUGUAUGAAAUUUGAAAAAAAUGCCAGGAGUGGUGGCUUUUAAUCCCACCUACUCUGGAGGCUGAAGCACGAGGAUUGCUUGAGCCCAGAAGUUCAGGGCUGCAGUGAGCUCUAUCAUGCCACUGCCUAAGCCUGGGCAACAGAAAAAGACCCUGUUUCCAAAAAAAAAAAAAAUUAUGGAAAAGGAAAAACUAGUGGCAGAAAACAGACAAGUAGGUUCCAGGAGUAGAGGAGAUUUGCUUAAAAUGGGACAAUGGAACUUUUCAGAGUGAUGGUAAUAUUUUAUAUCACAAUUUGGGUGGUAAUCACAUGGUCAAAACAUGCCUGCAAUCCCAGCACUUUGGGAGGCUGAGGUGGGCAGGUCACCUGAGGGCAGGAGUUUGAGACCAGCCUGAUCCACAUGGUGAAACCCCAUCUUUUUCAAAAAAAAAAAAAAAAGCAAACACACCAAAUUACUUAUAAUUAUACACUUGAAAGUUUUAUUUCUUGUAAAUUAUAGCUCACCAGAGUGUGAGGAUAUUCUGGAAGCUUUGAUUAAAGCAGUAAUAUAGAGAAAGUCAGCGUAGGAAGCUGAGAUCUAUGAUAAGGACCGCCAGUGGCAAGAAGUACUAGUGAGAUGUUGAGCGUUAGGUAAGCUUGCGAGGGUGCAGCGGGGUUUGUUCACCUCCAGGGUGAUGAAGAAAGGCACUGGGUAGAGUUCUUAGGAGAAUUGCAAGUAAAUCAUGACAGUAAAGCAAACGUUGAGAAAGACGGAAAUGCACAGACAGACACUGGAAGCCCAUGACCGCAGUAAAUGCUUGAACUGCUGCCUUAGGCGCAUUUCCUUCCAAUGUGCUUUCCCAGGAGUGCUCACAAUCAUUUGAAGGAAAACAUUUAGCUGCUCGGGAGGCUGAGACAGGAGAAUCGCUGGAACCUAGGAGGCAGAGGUGGAGUGAGAUAGUGGCACUGCACUCCAGCCCAAACAGUGGGUGGCUUUGUUUCAAAAACACAUUUGAUUAAACUUCAAACACGACAGUGUUUGAGUAAAUACAUCACCUUUUUUAAGACACUAGUCAGUCAAGGAUAAGGAUUAAAUUAGCAUCUCGUUUCUUAGAUAAAACUGGACAGGAUUUCUUUUGGGACCAGUAAAUAAUUGCCAAGAACAAUUUCUUUCUUUCUUUUU